AUGACAACCUCACUUGGUUUGGGCUUCCUCAUAGUGUGGCAGGCUUCCUCAUAGGAUAGUUAGAAAAUUUUGAAUGGUGCCCCAUGCAUCUGAGAGCAAGGGUUUUGACAAACAGGCAGAAGUCUCUUAUAAUCUCUCAUUCACUAUUAUUUGCAAUCAUAUAGUGUGUGACUAUUGCUCAAGGUAGUCAUCAGCCUACUUCAAAAUCAGGAGGUGGGAACCUAGACUCCACUUCUUUAUGGGAAUGAUUUCAAAACAGACACAUCUUACAAUGUGCACAGGCUGCCAUUAAUUGUGCUUAUAUACAGAGCACAAAGCAGCCAUUCACCUCAAGGAGGAAAUUUCAUCAAUACUCUAGAUAUCGCUAAUUUAUGAUUUCCCUAAUCAUCUGUAGGAAGUCUGAGAGAACUAAAGUGAACACGGACAAUCCUAAUUUCUCAAACCUAUAAAGUCUGGCACAGUAGCUUGGUGAGGAAAGGCACAAGUUGCCCUGCCUGACAACCUACGUUCAACCCAGGGGACCCACAAAGAGGAAGGAGAGAACUGACUCCUGAGGCAAUCUUCCAGCAAGCCAUCACCAAGGCUCCAGCACAAAGAACAUGAGCCGGGUCAGAAUCUGGAGGGGAUGCUUAUUGCAGGGAGAAGUCA
rnacentral:lncRNA from 1 species